UACGGGGGGGGCAAGCGUUGUUCGGAAUUACUGGGCGUAAAGCGCGUGUAGGCGGCUUUUCAAGUCAGACGUGAAAUCCUUAGGCUUAACCUGAGAACUGCGUUUGAUACUGUUGGGCUAGAGUGUGGAAGGGGCUACUAGAAUUCCGUGUGUAGCGGUGAAAUGCGUAGAUAUCGUAAGGAAGACCAGUGGCGAAGGCGGGUCUCUGGACAGUUCCUGACGCUGAGGCACGAAGGCCAGGGGAGCAAACGGG
rnacentral:rRNA from 1 species